UUACCCCAGAGGCCAUUCCUCCUGUUCAUAGUUUAAAUGAAGAUGAUCCACAUGAUCAUCAAAGUUUGGAAGGUCAAGUCCAGAAAAUGAAGAAUGAUAUCCUGGGUUUAAACUAUCCAGAAGAUAGUGAAGUGAAGGAUCCCCUGCCUCAGAUCGAGCUGAAGGCUGUGACAAGGAGAAAAGUUAAGACCAAGAGGAGGACCAGUGCCAACAGGUCCACAGUUGAACAGAGCACUGAUAGUGAUGCGGCUGAGAGAGAUUUUGUUGAUAAUCAGAAUGAUGAAGAUGAGGAAAAGGUGAAGAAGGAUCCCCUGCCUCAGAUGCAGCAGGAUGCCGUGAAAAGAAAUAAAGUCAAGG
ensembl:lncRNA